CUUAUGUGUUAUGGAGAAUGGAAGUAGAAUUGUCAAGUUGCGCUGUCAUUUGAAGUUGGCAUAUAGGCAGUGUCUGAUUCUGGCGUAGGGGAUUUUGUUCAUUUACUAGUCACACAAAGGCCUCUUCAUCUUAGCUAGAAGCCCAUCUGCCCAGAACACAGCUACCACGAGACUCGAGAAACGGUGAAGAGUAACGGUAGGAAAUAAGAGGCCAC
rnacentral:misc_RNA from 1 species